rnacentral:rRNA from 1 species
AUUGAACGCUGGCGGCAUGCUUUACACAUGCAAGUCGAACGGUAACAGGUUAAGCUGACGAGUGGCGAACGGGUGAGUAAUGCAUCGGAACGUGCCCGGUCGUGGGGGAUAACGCAGCGAAAGUUGCGCUAAUACCGCAUACGAUCUGAGGAUGAAAGCGGGGGACCGUAAGGCCUCGCGCGAUCGGAGCAGCCGAUGUCAGAUUAGGUAGUUGGUGGGGUAAAGGCUCACCAAGCCAACGAUCCGUAGCUGGUCUGAGAGGACGACCAGCCACACUGGGACGGAGAAACAGCCAAGGCUCCUACGGGAGGCAGCAGUGGGGAAUUUUGGACAAUGGGCUAAAGCCUGAUCCAGCAAUGCCGCGUGCAGGAAGAAGGCCUUCGGGUUGUAAACUGCUUUUGUACGGAGCGAAAAGGUCUCCUCUAAUACAGGGGGCUCAUGACGGUACCGUAAGAAUAAGCACCGGCUAACUACGUGCCAGCCGCCGCCGUAA